ACGCUCGACACCUACGGAGGCAGCAGUGGGGAAUAUUGCACAAUGGAGGAAACUCUGAUGCAGCGACGCCGCGUGAGGGAAGAAGGUCUUCGGAUUGUAAACCUCUGUUGUCAGGGACGAUGAUGACGGUACCUGACGAGGAAGCCACGGCUAACUACGUGCCAGCAGCCACGGUAAUCUGAGCGGGCUGGCAAGGC
rnacentral:rRNA from 1 species